CUUGUGAUAAAGGUGGUAGGCAAACCCAUCGACUGUUGGGAAACCAAAAUCCUUUAUCAAGUGACUGAACACCUGUGGAUGCAGUUACCAUUCUGGAUGAUCCAACUUUGCCUGCUGAGCCAGUUGGCCAUAACAUUCAAUUUUGCCUUUCACAUGAAAGGAUGUAUUUGGUCACAAACACUAACGUCAGGAGACUGGAACUAACCUGUUGGACAUCCUGUUGAAAAACACAGAGCUGAAGCCGUUGGUGCAGGCGGACCUUCCGAUGCUGCCAAAUGUUCUCCAGUUGUCGCUGGUGGUGCAGUACUUCAUGGAUGACAUCCAGGACAUGAUGCACUGCCUUGGAGUAGUUAGCAGAAGCUGUUAAUGAGUCAGAGCUUCCAGGAGUCAAAGGUCGCUGAAGUUUGUCAAGUAACGACUUCCCAUCUUGGCUCACCUGACCGGCAAGAAGGAUGAAGAAUUAAGUUUCUGUUCGAAAGCUCAUUAAUGAACGCAUACUACAAAAUUAUAUAGAACAGAUUAAUCGAAGACAUGGCAGCUAGCAUUCUCCACCUCUAAUCCCGGAGUGGGAACACACUGCUGUUACAACAGAUAGUGCAGAGAAAAUUACAUAUACAGUGUCCACUGUAUGCAUUAAGUUACUGUUCUGAAACAAUGGCCUACCAAUAAAGCUAAUUUUCCUA